GGGCGCUCCUGACCCCUGGCGCGACUUCUUCCCUGGGGACUCUUCGGUGCCGACGCUUCCCUUCACCCUGGCCAUCAUGGAUCGGAGGAUCCGGAGGAGCUCCCCCGUCGAGGACUUAAUUUAUUUAUCUCUCUUCCCGGAACGAAGUCGGAAACCUCGUUAAGCGUCCCUCGGGACUCGAAGCUCGAGGCUGAUCGGACGGCGAAUUAAUUCCUGAAGCUGGUCGAAUAUUCACGGCUGCUGUUCUUCAUUCGAGGCCCUGUGAUUUUUUUUUUUUUUUGGAAAGCUCUACCCAGGGAGACAUUUUCCGAUUUUCCAUAGAAAGAUCCAUAAUUCCGCGAAUAACUCAAUUAGGCGAAUUUAAAAAGCGACCAUUCGAUAUGCAAAAUUUUCUAUCCAAUUGUCAUUGAAGUCGCAUUGAAGAAAAAUUGUAUGGAAUCCGAAAAAUAUUUUUCUACGCGUGGAUAUAUUCACGUUAGGAAGGAAUACACUUCCCGCUGUCUAGGAAAUGUAAUUUGAUAAGAGGUCCGCUUUAUUUAAAUUUAUUCCGCUCGCGGGCGAACAAUGUGGCACAUACAAAGUGCCUAAUAGAUAUCCGCUAGUAGAUACCUUGUCAGGUAAAAUAGAGCUUAUGUACAUAUAAACAUGCUCUACGCAACAUUUUGACAUACUUAGAUAGAAUUUCGCAUAGACUCAUUAAACUGAUAAAAUCGAAGGAUAUAACAAAAUGUCAAUUAUUUAGGAAUCACCGGGCAAGAGGGUAAUAAUUAUUUCCGAAGUGUUAUCCAUCUCCUUUCGUAUUCUCGUAUACGUUUUAUCUUCGUAACUGGAAGAGUAAAAGAUUACAUUGAAGACAAAUCUUGACGUACCAAACUUUAGGAGGAUUAUUAAAAUUAAUAAAAAUUUCUGCCAGGAGUAUCCAAGAAUCUCAGAUUUUAAUGGAUGAUAAUAGGAAAUAAUUAUCACGCAAAUACGUAAUUAUUAUUUAGAGAUUAUUCUACGUCGCAAUUUAUCUACAAUGUCGCGAGGCAUCUUAUCACCGCGAGUGAAAGAGUGGAUUACAGGGUAGAGAGAGAAUAAAUUUCAGAAAUGAAUAAAAUAGAUGGCGAUAAAGAACCUUGACACCCGGGAGACAGUUUCCAUCGGGGAAGUCUCGGGAGGUAAUUACGUAAAUGAGUGAUAAUAAUUUUCGAAGUAAUAUAACAUUCCUUUCCGCCUUUGGCGUCGCAACGCCUUAUCACCUCGAGUGGAUGAGCAGAAGAUGAGACAGGAGACUGGUUCCGAUGCAUCCGCGAUAUUAGAAAAAAUUAAUAAAAAAUAAAUGGUAGUCUUCGUUAGGAGCGCCAAGAAUUCAAGAGACUCGAGAGAUAAUUACGUAAAUACGUGAUAAUGUAGAUAAUAUGUAUCCCUCUUCCGCCUAGUACAUGUACUCUUAUCAUCGCGACUGGAUGAGCAGAAUCUCCACCCAGAAAGAAAUGAUUUUUCAU